GAUGAACGCUGGCGGCGUGCCUAAUACAUGCAAGUCGAGCGAACAGACGAGGAGCUUGCUCCUCUGACGUUAGCGGCGGACGGGUGAGUAACACGUGGAUAACCUACCUAUAAGACUGGGAUAACUUCGGGAAACCGGUGCUAAUACCGGAUAAUAUAUUCAACCGCAUGGUUCAAUAGUGAAAGACGGUUUUGCUGUCACUUAUAGAUGGAUCCGCGCCGCAUUAGCUAGUUGGUAAGGUAACGGCUUACCAAGGCAACGAUGCGUAGCCGACCUGAGAGGGUGAUCGGCCACACUGGAACUGAGACACGGUCCAGACUCCUACGGGAGGCAGCAGUAGGGAAUCUUCCGCAAUGGGCGAAAGCCUGACGGAGCAACGCCGCGUGAGUGAUGAAGGUCUUCGGAUCGUAAAACUCUGUUAUUAGGGAAGAACAAAUGUGUAAGUAACUAUGCACGUCUUGACGGUACCUAAUCAGAAAGCCACGGCUAUCUACGUG
rnacentral:rRNA from 1 species